rnacentral:piRNA from 1 species
UGCAAGCGGUGGGCUGACUGCAGCGGUGGC